AACGGCCGUACCAUGCUGAAUAUAUCGGUUCUCGUUAGAUCACCGAAGUUAAGCAUCAUUGGGCGCGGUCAGUACUUGGGAGGGUGACCACCUCGGAAAACUGCGUGCCGUU
rnacentral:rRNA from 1 species